GGACUACUGGGGUUUCUAAUCCCGUUUGCUCCCCUGGCUUUCGCGCCUCAGCGUCAGAAAGGGUCCAGCACGUCGCUUUCGCCACCGGCGUUCCUUCCGAUAUCUACGCAUUUCACCGCUCCACCGGAAGUUCCACAUGCCCCUACCCCCCUCCAGGCCGCCAGUAUCAAAAGCCCUUCUCCAGUUGAGCUGAAGGAUUUCACCCCUGACUUGGCGGCCCGCCUACGCGCCCUUUAAGCCCAGUGAUUCCGAACAACGUUCGCACGGUUCGUCUUACCGCGGCGGCUGGCAC
rnacentral:rRNA from 3 species